CCCAACGAAUCCCAGGACGAUUGAGAAAACGGAGAGUCCCGUUCGGAGGACUUAAAAACACCGAACGCCUUGCCAAGAGGUAAACUUGGUAGUUAUCUUUUCCUUUCAAUUAUUUCAAAUAGUUUGCUUAGUUAAUCAGGUUCAUAUCAUUUUUAAAAGAAAAUAAAAAUGUUAAAAAUAAGUAAGCCCCAUGUGAGUAUACGAGUGGCAUAAAACCCAUAAGUACAUUCACUGUGGUGGCAUAAAAAUAAAAUGAAUAGUUUUUUCUGUUCUAUAAAAUAAAAAUAUAAAAAUAGAGAGUAACAUUUAUUGAGGAGGCUCAACAUGAUAAAGGCUAGAUAUUUAUGCUAACACCUAAUCAGUUCCACAAAGCUUUGUUGUCUAUUUGAGCUCCACAGAAUUCAAGAAUCAAGAAGACUAGCAGACGGAGGACAUCCUAAUCGCUGUCAGAGUGCUGCCGACUUUCAAAUACACCUCUACCACCUGCUAGCUACAUCAGAAGAAAUUACUUCAAAAUUCAGCUUGGAGGAGAGCACCCCCAUAUAUCCCGCUAAGUAUUUCUAUCUACAUUGAUACUUAUACUAUUUUAAAAUAAAAAUAUACAUAACCAUGAAAAACCAAAUAAAGAUUUUGUGCUUAUAUAUAUAUAUAUCUUUUGCUUAGUGUGCUUAAUAAAUAAAUAAAGUGGCUAUGCUAAACUGAAUCUUAAUAAUAAAACUCUAGCAUGGAUAUGAUGAAUAGUUGCUCUGUCUAAUUUUCAAAUUUGAGUUCUCUCUCAAGUUUAGACAUAACUGUUAUAAUUUAAAGCUUGCUCUAAAUCUGAACUUGUGGGAAGAGACCUUGAUCUGAAGUCUAAGUUGUUAACGGAUAUGAUAUGGAAAGGUUGAGCUGCUGUUUAUCUAUUCCUAGAGAUGUUGUGGAGAAUUUUAUCUUUAAAAAUCUUUAAAAUAACACAUGAUGAGUUCCUGUAUGAUGAGAGUUUAAAUUCCUACCACAACCAUAUAUAUAUAUGCUUGUUAGACUUUGAGCCACACAUUUACUUUUUACUGCUUAUGAGCAUUGAGUGUGAUCAAGCUGUGUAGACCCUUAGGAGCUUGUCAUGUGGUUAAAUCAAGAUUCACUUGCACGUUCACUCACACAUGCUGCUUCUACUCCGGAAGUACGCAUCCACAUAUGUCCACCCAUUUCCAUCUCCAGAACCACCCAAAAAUAUUCUACUCCUAAUCCGGGAGAGAAUAGCCAAAAACCUUUAUGUUUUCCCCUGUGAAAUAAAUGCUCAAGUUAUCUUGGUUACUACCACUUGCUAUAUUAUUUCAGGAAAUGAGUGCUCUAGAAAAAAAAGAAGAAAAAGAUAUGAGGAAAUAAAAAGGGGCAAGUGCCCGGAACCUCGAAAGAAAGAAAAAGUGAGACGAGAGGUAAAAAUGGACAAGUGUCCGACAGUAGAAUUAGGGGUACAAGAUACCCACCUGAGAGGAAAGAAAAAAAUAUAGAGCAUCUCGCUCUCCUCAAAAAGUUUCAAAAGAGCAAGGAAGGUGUGUAUCCCCUCAAAAGAGCACAAGUAGAAUUAGACUUUCACCAUUGUUAUUACCAUCAUCACCAUACAUCAUUCAUUCGCCACACAUGCACACUUGAUUUGAUUUAUUGACUUGUUUCUCUGGAUCCAUGGUUUGACUAUGCAAUAAAUGUCUUGUAAGUAUGUAUACUUUAUCUCCCACCUAUGAGCUCCAGAUAUCAAAGCCUUAUUAGAGUAGGGUGAGAGAGAAGGAAAAUGUCACUAUGCCUUAUACCACAAAUACCACAUAUUUUGAGAGAAGGCAUGUACCAUUACUGCCUUGGUAAAGAUCCAAAAAUACCACAAAAGAGAGAUCUGAGAGAGUCAUACAAGGAAUCUCUGAGUUUUAUUUGAAAAUCUGAAAAAACUCCAGAGGUAUAGCUGAUCAAGAAUAAGAGAC
rnacentral:lncRNA from 1 species